rnacentral:antisense_RNA from 1 species
CUUGAUCGAGCCCAGCCGCAGCGGGCGGUCCGCGGGUCGGUGCUGCCCGUAGGUGGCGAGCAAGGCCUGGGCCUC